GACGAACGCUGGCGGCGUGCUUAACACAUGCAAGUCGAACGGAAAGGCCCUGCUUUUGUGGGGUGCUCGAGUGGCGAACGGGUGAGUAACACGUGAGUAACCUGCCCUUGACUUUGGGAUAACUUCAGGAAACUGGGGCUAAUACCGGAUAGGAGCUCCUGCUGCAUGGUGGGGGUUGGAAAGUUUCGGCGGUUGGGGAUGGACUCGCGGCUUAUCAGCUUGUUGGUGGGGUAGUGGCUUACCAAGGCUUUGACGGGUAGCCGGCCUGAGAGGGUGACCGGCCACAUUGGGACUGAGAUACGGCCCAGACUCCUACGGGAGGCAGCAGUGGGGAAUAUUGCACCAUGGGCGGAAGCCUGAUGCAGCAACGCCGCGUGCGGGAUGACGGCCUUCGGGUUGUAAACCGCUUUCGCCUGUGACGAAGCAUGAGUGACGGUAAUGGGUAAAGAAGCACCGGCUAACUACGUG
rnacentral:rRNA from 1 species